UACGAAGGGGGCUAGCGUUGCUCGGAAUCACUGGGCGUAAAGCGCACGUAGGCGGACUCUUAAGUCGGUGGUGAAAUCCUGGAGCUCAACUCCAGAACUGCCUUCGAUACUGAGAGUCUUGAGUCCGGGAGAGGUGAGUGGAACUGCAAGUGUAGAGGUGAAAUUCGUAGAUAUUCGCAAGAACACCAGUGGCGAAGGCGGCUCACUGGCCCGGUACUGACGCUGAGGUGCGAAAGCGUGGGGAGCAAACAGG
rnacentral:rRNA from 1 species